rnacentral:rRNA from 1 species
AUUGAACGCUGGCGGCAGGCCUAACACAUGCAAGUCGAACGAGUGGCGGACGGGUGAGUAAUGUCUGGGAAACUGCCUGAUGGCGGGGGAUAACUACUGGAAACGGUAGCUAAUACCGCAUACCAUCGGAUGUGCCCAGAUGGGAUUAGCUAGUCGGUGGGGUAAAGGCUCACCUAGGCGACGAUCCCUAGCUGGUGUGAGAGGAUGACCAGCCACACUGAAACUGAGACACGGUCCAGACGCCUACGGGAGGCAGAAGUGGGGAAUAUUGCACAAUGGGCGAAAGCCUGAUGCAGCCAUGCCGCGUGUAUGAAGAAGGCCUUCGGGUUGUAAAGUACUUUCAGCGGGGAGGCGUUACCCGCAGAAGAAGCACCGGCUAACUCCGUGCCAGCAGCCGCGGUAAUAC